rnacentral:rRNA from 1 species
CCUACGGGGGGCAGCAGUGAGGAAUAUUGGUCAAUGGGCGGAAGCCUGAACCAGCCAAGUAGCGUGCAGGAUGAUGGCCCUACGGGUUGUAAACUGCUUUUAUACGGGAAUAACGCGCCUUACGUGUAGGGCUUUGCAUGUACCGUAUGAAUAAGGACCGGCUAAUUCCGUGCCAGCAGCCGCGGUAAUACGGAAGGUCCGGGCGUUAUCCGGAUUUAUUGGGUUUAAAGGGAGCGUAGGCGGGAGGUCAAGCGUGCUGGGAAAUGCCCGGGCUCAACCCGGGCCUUGCAGCGGGGACUGGCGUGCUGGAGUCCGCAGAAAGCAGGCGGAAUUCGUCGUGUAGCGGUGAAAUGCUUAGAUAUGACGAAGAACACCGAUUGCGAAGGCAGCUUGCUGCAGCGGAACUGACGCUGAUGCUCGAAAGCGCGGGUAUCGAACAGGAUUAGAUACCCUUGUAGUC